UACGUAGGUGGCAAGCGUUAUCCGGAAUUACUGGGCGUAAAGCGCACGCAGGCGGUCUUGUAAGUUUGACGUGAAAGCUCCCGGCUUAACUGGGAGAGGUCGUUGAAUACUGCAAGACUUGAGUUUAGGAGAGGGGUGUAGAAUUCCCGGUGUAGUGGUGGAAUGCGUAGAUAUCGGGGGGAAUACCAGUGGCGAAAGCGGCACCCUAGCCUUUGACUGACGCUCAUGUGCGAAAGCGUGGGGAGCGAACGGG
rnacentral:rRNA from 1 species